GAUCCUGGCUCAGGACGAACGCUGGCGGCGUGCCUAAUACAUGCAAGUCGAGCGGACAGAUGGGAGCUUGCUCCCUGAAGUCAGCGGCGGACGGGUGAGUAACACGUGGGCAACCUGCCUGUAAGACUGGGAUAACUCCGGGAAACCGGGGCUAAUACCGGAUAAUUCUUUCCCUCACAUGAGGGAAAGCUGAAAGAUGGUUUCGGCUAUCACUUACAGAUGGGCCCGCGGCGCAUUAGCUAGUUGGUGAGGUAACGGCUCACCAAGGCAACGAUGCGUAGCCGACCUGAGAGGGUGAUCGGCCACACUGGGACUGAGACACGGCCCAGACUCCUACGGGAGGCAGCAGAAGGG
rnacentral:rRNA from 1 species